UGAUGUUACUGCAAACAAAAUGAAAAGUCUAAGUGUUGUUACCCAAGAAGCAUUUCCCAAGAUGUCAAACAAGGUUUGGAAAAUGGAGAAGUGGCCACUGGAAAGGUGGAAGGAGAGAAACGACAUGCUGUAGAAUUUAGAAGCUACAGUCAUUUCCUCCUCCAGAUCAUGGCUGAUUCCCAACCUUCAACUGUGCCAUUAACCAGGCUCCAAAAUGAUGACAGCAGCUCUCUUCCCUCUUUUCUCUCUCUCUUCCCCUUCCCCACACGAGGCAGCCACAAUGAAGACCUCCAUGGUCAAAGACUGAGUGAAGGCUCCUCCUAAGCCCAAUGGAUAAGAAAGGUGGAAAGAGCAAUACAGACAGCACCUUUUCU